UUUAUACCUCAUUAGGGGUCCAAGCCAACAGGUUGGAUCCCUAUUGUUUUUGUAAGGAUUUUUCUUAUUAGGGGUCCAAGCCAACAGGUUGGAUCCCUAUUGUUUUUGUAAGGAUUUUUCUUAUUAUUAUUCCCCCCUAGAAUGGUACUACAGCCCAAACCGUAAAUGGUGCACACAAGCCAAUUACAUGACUAGAUCCAGGUCCGUGAGCUGACGGCAGACGACAAAAUCCAGACAUGCCGGCCACUAGGUGGCGCUAUACCAAGGAAUACGCGUUUGGGGCUAUAACUCCCACACCGAACCUCCCAGAGUCCAAAAACUUGUACACACAGAUGCACUGGAGUCUGCUGCAUCUUUUGGCCUAGGCCACGCCCAUUUGCGUCUAUGAAUAUUUUUCACAAAAUCGCGAAAACCGCAAAACUGUUUUUUCGCUACUCCUCCCACAUUUCUUGCCCAAUCGACACAAAACUUUGCACACGGUAUCUUCAGACGCACACGCAAAGAAAUCAUAGACAGUUUUUUGAUCCGACCUUCGACGACGAAACGGAAGAGUUUUGAAUAUUUGUUUAUUAGCUAAAUUAGACGUGGAAAAUCAAAAAUCCAAAAAAAUCAAAAAUUAGACAUCGGAUCGAGUCCAAACUUUACACACAUGUUGGUGCUAACCAUAAUGACGUUAGAUAAACAUUUUGGAAAAUGUCGCCAUUAGGGGCCGCAAUAAACGACGAAAUUGUAUAUCUUCUAAUUGGCCAAAGGAAUGUUCUUCAAACUAUGAGGGAACCAUCAAGGGGCAAACCCGAGUCUAUAUAAAAAUUAUGGCCAAGAAUUAUUAAUGUGGGCGGGAGUUAUUUGGAAAAGGAAAAUUGUCUUUGGAAAAUUUCGCCACAAGAGGGCGCAAAAAAACGACGAAAUAAUACAUCUCCUAAUUGGCCAAUGGAAUGUUCUGAAAACGCGUUUUGGGCUAUAACUCCCACACCGAACCUCCCACAGUCAAAACCUUUAUAUCCACAUAUUCACUGGAGUCACGUUUUAAACACAUGCUUCGCGUUGUGCCGGCGAAAUGCACAUUUCUUGUCGCGUUGUGCCGGCGAAAUGCACACUUCUUGGACCCCUGCAUAACUGCUUGCAGUUCUAGUUCUUAUUCUUACCUCCUUAAAAGUGGUACCACAGCCCAAACCGUAAAAGGUGCACACACGCCAAUUGCAUGACUACAUCCAGGUCUGUUCGGACUACGCA